CCUAUAUCUAUUAUCCACCCAAACUCACCAUAAUCUACUGUGAAAGAACUGGAGAAUGAAGAAGAGCGUUGCGAGCCAUCGUUCUCACUUUUCAAUUUUCUCUUCUCUAUUACAUCGUCGUUGACUCUUGACUGUUUGUCUGCUUCACGGCUCCGCCUCAAAAUCUGGUAAGCUUCUUUUUUUUUGCUUUUUCGUAUGGGUAAUGGAAGAAUCAGAAAUCAGAAGGUUUGCUUGAGAGGCAAAAAUUACUUACUUGUUUGUGUGGCAAUGAAAGAAUCGGAAUUUGCUAUUUCGUAUGAAUACACACAUUUUUAAAAUUUUUUUUUUGCUUUUUCACAAAUGACAGAAAUUGAAAGUAGGAUGAGUGAAGGUGGGGCUUCAAAUGAAAGAAUACUUAGGACCCAUUUAUCUCCAAGAAUACUUAGAAAAAAUUUGGGAAGUGGUGUUUGGUCUUGGCAAAUAUAUAUUUGCCAAGUAUUCAAGUUCUCAAAUACUAGAAAAAACUAGUAUUUGGGUCAAAUUCUAAUAUUUGGAAAUUUUUAAAAAUAUAAAAAUUACCACAAACUUUUAUAUUUUAUAAAAAAUACUCAUUAUUUAUUAAUUUCAACUAAUAUUUGUUGUUACUUCCUCCGAAAAAGCUUGAGUUCUAAUUCCAGUGACAAAAUUGAGAAAAAGGAAUAAUUUGUGUUUAAUGAGUUAUAAUUAUAACUGAAUCAGUGACAAGUUUAAGUAUGCGAUUAAUGUAUUAUUUUUCCUAUAUUGUUAUUUUGUUAUUGUUGAUUGUUAUCAAUUAUAUUAUAAAUUUUAACGAAGCAUAUUCAUUAUAAAAUGGUAAUAUAAAUUUAUGGGUAUUUUUAAUAAUUUUUAGAACUUAAGGAUAUAAAUCAUAAUUUUUGAAAUAAUCAAAUAUUUUUAGGGAAAAUUGGGGCCAAAUUCAUGGUGAAAUUUCAUCCAAACAUGAUUUGCCAAUAAUAUUUGAGAACUUGAGGUCAAAUGCUAGUUUAAUACUUCAUCUCCAAAUGAAGUUAAAGAUAACAGUGAAGCUUCAAACAAAAGAAAAGUCAUAGAAACUACGAUUGCUUGUUGUAAGCAUUUUGAGAAAUUAAUUGAUGAAGAUGGAGCUACUAAAACAAAAUGUAAUUAUUGUGGAAAAACUUAUGCGACUACUAAUAAAGGUAAUGGUACUUUGGUUAUGAAUAAUCAUUUGACUAUCAAAAAGUGUCCUAAAUUUUCCCAUACCGUAGAUGAUGGUCAAACACUAAUAGAUUUUGUACCAUCUUCAAUGGGAGCAAAGGAAGGGGUGGUUAGCACUUGAAAAUUUGAACAAGCACAAAGUAGAAGAACUUUAGUCCAAAUGGUAAUUAUUGACGAGUUGCUAUUUAGUUUUAUUGAGAAAAAAAGUUUUAAGAAUUUCAUGAAAGUCACAGUAUUACAAUUUCAUAUUCCUUCUUGUAGAACUUUGACAAGAGAUUGUUAAUGAACAAAGAAAACUCUUGAAGAAGACUUUCAGAGAAGCACAUCUAAAUAUUUGUCUUACGACAAAUACUUGGAAAUCUAUUCAAAGAAUCAACUAUAUGUGUCUAACAAUCCACUUUAUAGAUAGAAACUGGAUUUUGCAUAAAAGUAUUAUUAAUUUUUGUCCUAUUUCUAGUCAUAAAAGUGAUAAUAUGACAUCUUCCAUUACUAAAUGUUUGCUUGAUUGAGAUUUGGAUAAUAUGUAUACUAUAACAGUUGAUAAUACUAGUUCCGACAAUGUUAUAGUGAAAAGAAUGUCUAAGCAAUUGAGUAAUUGGGGAACCAAUAUAAUAGAGGGUCAACAUCUUCAUGUUAGGUGUAUGACACAUUUUUAAUUUUAUUGUGCAAGAUGGAUUGAAAGAAAUUGAUCGGUCAGUCAAGCGAGUGAGACAAGACGUGAAAUACAUUAAACAAUCUCCUGCAAUAAUUAAAAAGUGUUAAGAAUGUUGUGAAUCUCAAUUGAUAACUUGUAAGAAAUCAUUAUGUUUAGAUUGAACUAGUGCAAGUGUCCUUAAUAGUGCUGAUUGGGAAAAAGUGAGAUAAAUGAUUAAGUUUCUUGAAACUUUUUAUAUACUUACGGUAAAGGUUUUUGGUUCAAAGUAUGUCACAAAUAAUGUGACAUACUUUGUGACAUUAUACACAUAAUACACAUUAUUUGAGACAUACUUUGAACUAGAGACCUUCAAAGUAAGCAUACAAAAAGUUUCAAGAAACUUAAUCAAAAUGAUCUCACUUUUUCUUAAUCAGUAUUAGUGAUCUGCAAUAGUCCAUCUUCACAAAGAUGGUACGGAGAUAAUCAAGGAAUCCAAUAUCAUAAAAAUUAUAUCUUUCAAAUGCAAGUUCAAAGUGUUGUGAUGUACCAAACAUCAAGUAUGUAGAGUUCCACCGAGUAGGAACAUCUAAACAAAGUAAUUUCUUGCAAAGUAUCAUUUGAGAUUUCCAACAUUCUUUAAACUUUUUAAUUCUUCCAGGAUAUUAUUAAUGUAUUUCACGGCUUGUCUCACUCGCUUGACUAAUUGACCAACUUUCUUCAAUCCAUCAUGCACGAUAAGAUUAAGAAUAUGCGCCAUACACCUCACAUGAAGAUGUUGACCCUCCAUUAUGUUGGUUCCCCAAUUACAAAAUAGCUUAGAUGUUUCUUUCACGAUAAGACUGUUGGAACUAACUUCAUCAACUGUUAUAGGAAACACAUUAUCCAAACU
rnacentral:lncRNA from 1 species